ensembl:snRNA U6 U6 spliceosomal RNA
GUGUUCGCUUCAGCAGCACAUAUACUACAAUUGGAACGAUACAGAGAAGAUUAGCAUGGCCCCUACGCAAGGAUGACAUGCAAAUUCAUGAAGCGUUCCAUAUUUAA